AGAACCAUCGGAGCGAGUCUUAACCUUGUAGACCCACUUACAAGUGAUGGGACGGACUCCGGGAGGAAGAGAAACAAGAUCCCAGGUACCAGUGCGUUCAAGAGCAGCAAUCUCCUCUGCCAUCGCAAACUGCCAUUCAGGAUGAACAACAGCCUGACGGUAAGAAGUCGGCUCAAGAACAGCAGCACCAGCGGUGGGAAAUCCAAAGCGAUCAAUAGGCGGACGAGGACGAGAACGCAAGCCAUAAGUAGGCUGAGAGGAAGAGGACGACUCAUCCAAGGAAGCAUCCACAGGUCGUGAACGACGAGUGUAAUGCUGAGGCAAAGAUGGAAUAAGAGAAGGAGGAAUCGCCAAGGUAGAAUCGGGGGGUGGCGACGAAGAAGUCACCGGAGAUGAAGGUGUAGAAUCCAGUGACAUGCUAGGUGAGGAGACCGGGGAAGAUGGUGGCGGCGAAUCGAUGAGGGGUGGAGAAGCAGAGGGAGUGGAACGAAUAGGCACAGGCGCGACGGGGGUGAUAGGUGAGUCAGGAAAAGUGAGGAAAGAGAUAUCCUCCAC